CAGCUCUAACCUGUGUGUGUUCAGAGGUUAAAAUGACCUCACCUCAAAAUGACCUGAGAGUUCAGUGACACAGAGCAGCAGCUGGGAUUGUUCAGAGUCCGCUGCGCUGGAAACUUCAUUUCAUUGGCAUGAACUGUGCUGCGUCAUUUUAACGAAGAAAGACAGACAUAACGGUUUGGAACGACAUGAUGUGCAGGAGAUGAAACGGCAGACUGCCAGAGCUGUUUUUCUUCAUCUGAGGUCUGGAAAACAUGAUCUACUCAGAUUACACUCACCCCCAAAACACACAGCUCCAGUACCCACGUGCUUUCAGGAAAUACACAAACACACACACACACAGGCAAACAGACACCCUUGAGUCUUGCCAUCUGUAUACAUACCUACAGUAUAUGUCCAUAGACACCUCACACCACUUCCAUUGCAGACAAACACAUACUUAAGGUUUAUUAUUAUUAUUAUUAUUAUUAUUAUUAAUAACAAUAACAAUAUUAUUUUUGUGUUUGUAUUUCUUUUUAUGUAUUUAUGAAUUUCAGGAUUUCCUGAAAUCAAGAAUAUCACCUAA